rnacentral:rRNA from 1 species
GACGAACGCUGGCGGCGUGCUUAACACAUGCAAGUCGUACGGUAAGGCCCUUUCGGGGGUACACGAGUGGCGAACGGGUGCGUAACACGUGAGUAACCUGCCCACAACUUUGGGAUAACGCUAGGAAACUGGUGCUAAUACUGGAUAUGUGCUCCUGCUGCAUGGUGGGGGUUGGAAAGCUCCGGCGGUUGUGGAUGGACUCGCGGCCUAUCAGCUUGUUGGUGGGGUAGUGGCCUACCAAGGCGGCGACGGGUAGCCGGCCUGAGAGGGUGACCGGCCACAUUGGGACUGAGAUACGGCCCAGACUCCGACGGGAGGCAGCAGUGGGGAAUAUUGCACAAUGGGCGCAAGCCUGAUGCAGCAACGCCGCGUGCGGGAUGACGGCCUUCGGGUUGUAAACCGCUUUCAGCAGGGACGAAGCUUUUUGUGACGGUACCUGCAGAAGAAGCACCGGCUAACUACGUG